GGCGCGGCGGGGCCGGGUCGGGCGCCGCGCUUCUGCCUGGGCUUCGGCACUAUCCCCCGGGCCUCUCCCGUGUCGGGCUGCGACUUCCACUCCUCGCUCCAGGCAUCGCUCGCUUUCUCCCGGCCGUGCUGAACAAGUUAUCUGUUACAGAAGGGGGGGAACCCCAAACGUGAAGUCGCCGUUAAACCGUUUCAGCAGGGAAACUCUCCGACAAGACUCUUAAGAUGCCCCGAGAGGGUGGAUAUGAAUGAAAAUGGAGAAGACAGCAAAACUGUACAAGGUGCUUAAAGUUAUGGCAUAGUGUAAACGCAACAUGGUGAGUCUUUUCAAAAGGAAAUCAUAGGAAGCCACGUCCUAGGCACCUAAAUUAAAAAAUUAUCCUCCCUUAGAGCUUAAAAGUUAUUGAAAGUCAUUGAAACCUCAUUGCUCACUGAGGAGUCUUGUACUUAUCUGCACUCAGAGCUGCUGUCAGUCUAAAGUUUCAUCUGAGAAAACUGGAUUUCUUCAGCAAGUGCAGCCUCUUCUAUAUUGUUGUUGUGAUCUUAGUCUGUCCUGUCCUAAAGUCAUAAGCCUGUAAGAGCAGGGGAUUCCCAAUUCUGGGAGUUAUUUUGCAGCAGCAACUUACAGGAUCAUAUCUGUUGAAUUACUGUUAGUGAAAGACUAUUAGACAAUACAGAAGAUUAGAUUAAUAUUCUCUUUUUGUGUUUACUACUACAAAUUACAGAGGAGCAUAUUCUUUGGCAAAUGACGUCAAGCAUUUUUCUUUGCUUCUUUUUGGAAAGUGGGAAAAAAUACCGAUCUUAAAACAUUUAAAGUGCAUUAGUAUUUGUCCUUUGGUGGCAUCUACUGAACUUAGUCAGGGACCAGCACUAUAAAACACUUGCUAGCAUAGACCUUGUUCACAAAGGCAGGCCAGAACCCACAUCUGGAACAGUGCAGUCCUUUGCUCGUUGGCUCUUUUAUUGCUUCUGUAAACCUGCAUUAGCUUCCAGGCAGGUGCAGCUUUAGUUCCUGUAGUGCAUCAACUGUAGAAACAACAGACCAAAAGGAUAGGGAGGAUCCUUUUGUGUAGGAUAUUGUAUAGUGUGCUGAUUAAAAAUCUUGAGACAGCUGUUGUCUGUCGUGACCUCACCAAAUCACAGUGGAAAACUGCUUGCUUGGAGAGAGGAAGACUGUUAACAUCCAGUGCAAAUCUCCUGAAGGUAAAAGCAAUGAGGAAGGAAGGAAAGAAUGUUUGACCUUGGGUUCGAAAGUGGAUAUCUAAAUCGUCACGCUGCUGCAGCUCAGAUGCCUCUUUCAGUUUCUUGUCAUAGCUGCUUUACCCUUCCCUUCUCAAGUUUGCUGAAAUGAACAGUGUUGUCUCAUGCUGCCAUUGCUUUUUAUCCUGGUACAUGUCAUUACGAUGGCAUAGACAUUUACCUCAAAAUAGCAUGUGGUCAGAUUUUCAGGGUUUCUGUAACAAUCUGGGUGUUAGACUUCUUUCCAGAGACUUGAUACAGUCCUGUGUGGGCUGUCUUACACUUGGCCUACAUGUUAAGAGGGACUUCAAUGUAACAAGCUGCCAGGCAGGAAGAAAACAGUUUUGUGGAUCAUCUUUUACAGUACUGAGGGAAAGAAGGGUGAUAACCAUGAUAACAGUCUUCAGAACCCAUUUGAACCAUGAAUGUGUCAUUUGCAAAGUGGCUUGCUAACCUACCCAUAGCUUUGGCUUUUAAUUUAUUUAAAGUGUGCUGUGUCGCUAAAAGGACUGUCACCUCUCUACCUUCAUAAGCUAACAGACAUAUUAAAGUGGUGCGUGGAGUCCUCUGUGUUUAGUUUGUGUAGCAACGUGAACACCUUUACGGCACCCAAGCAAACAACAGAAAACAGUUAGGAUAGAACUUCUUAUUAGUUCUGAAGAGCAUGUAAUUGAGUAAGUAAUUUGAAUUUGCAUGAAGAAUUUCAUCAGUUUAGAGAAUAUACAAUCACAGUUCCAAUCUCCAUUUUGACUGGUAGCUAAUGCUUGUUAAAAUUUUGGCUUGCAGUUGAGCUGUUACUGUAAGAAGUUGCUUUUGAGUCUGCAUAGGAUCAUUUCCAUAGAAAUUAGCUAAAACAUAAAUCAAAGUAAAAGAUAUCAAAGGAGAAGUCGGUGAAAGACAAGCAGGGACCACUUGCUUUGAUUUGACUCUCAGUGACUGGCCAGUCCCUUUCUGUUCACAGUGUAUGUGUUUAUUAUUUUUGGGGGGGCUUGUUACUGUUGGACUAAAUGUUAAGACAACCUCUCCUUGAAAAUGUAACUGUGGCCUAUGGUCUGUGGCCUCAGCUUCUUGGAAUUCUCUGGGCAUUCCUGUUUCAGUGAUGUUCCUGAUACUUUCCAGGACUUAUCUUUGGGAUUGAUCUGUGUCUAACACAAGUCAAGUUUGAAGACUAACCUCUUCGAUACUCUACUCUCCAUUUUUGGCUCCAAAGACUGCCUCUUCCCAUGCAGCAGAACUGAUAAAGAAUCUCCAGAAUCAAUGUAACUGCUGAAUUCUGAGUUAUCAGCUGUGAAAAUAAACAGUCUUGUGACUUGCCUUACAUCUGCUUCAGAAAGUUUCAGAAUGGCUGCGGUUAUUGCCUUUCCUGGGUGUGCUGGCCUUGCUCGGUUACCUCGCUGUUCGUCCAUUCCUCCCCAAGAAGA